AUUGAACGCUGGCGGCAGGCCUAACACAUGCAAGUCGAGCGGAGCGGCGGACGGGUGAGUAAUGCCUAGGAAUCUGCCUGGUAGUGGGGGAUAACGUCCGGAAACGGGCGCUAAUACUGCAUACUAUCAGAUGAGCCUAGGUCGGAUUAGCUAGUUGGGGGGGUAAAGGCCUACAAAGGCGACGAUCCGUAACUGGGCUGAGAGGAUGACCAGUCACACUGGAACGGAGACACGGUCCAGACUGCGACGGGAGGCAGCAGUGGGGAAGAUUGGACAAUGGGCGAAAGCCUGAUCCAGCCAUGCCGCGUGUGUGAAGAAGGUCUUCGGAUUGUAAAGCACUUUAAGUUGGGAGGCGUUACCAACAUAAUAAGCACCGGCUAACUUCGUGCCAGCAGCCGCGGUAAUAC
rnacentral:rRNA from 1 species